rnacentral:lncRNA from 1 species
ACACAAAAAUUAAUAUAAAAAUGUUUUUUUUUUUGGAAUAUAAAUGGCUAGAUGUCUGCUCUUUAGAAACUCAACUGCCAAAAGGAGAAACUCAACAACCUCUAGCCCUGAUAUACAAGCAUAACGCCUUCAACGAUAGUGUAAAACCAUUGCCUCAAGUCUGGAGUCUGGAAUAUAUAAAAGAGUUAGCAACACUAACAGAACACCCAAUGACAUCAAAUAACAUCCUUAAUACCAAAAAUACAAUGAA